rnacentral:rRNA from 1 species
UACGUAGGGGGCAAGCGUUGUCCGGAAUCAUUGGGCGUAAAGAGCGUGUAGGCGGCUGGGUAAGUCCGCUCUGAAAGCCCGGGGCUCAACCCCGGGAGGCGGGUGGAUACUGCUCAGCUCGAGUCCGGAAGAGGAGUGUGGAAUUCCUGGUGUAGCGGUGAAAUGCGCAGAUAUCAGGAGGAACACCAAUGGCGAAGGCAGCACUCUGGGACGGUACUGACGCUGAGACGCGAAAGCGUGGGGAGCAAACAGG